rnacentral:rRNA from 1 species
AGUGAACGCUGGCGGUAGGCCUAACACAUGCAAGUCGAACGGCAGCACAGGAGAGCUUGCUCUCUGGGUGGCGAGUGGCGGACGGGUGAGGAAUACAUCGGAAUCUACUUUUUCGUGGGGGAUAACGUAGGGAAACUUACGCUAAUACCGCAUACGACCUAAGGGUGAAAGCAGGGGACCUUCGGGCCUUGCGCGAUUGAAUGAGCCGAUGUCGGAUUAGCUAGUUGGCGGGGUAAAGGCCAACCAAGGCGACGACCCGUAGCUGGUCUGAGAGGAUGAUCAGCCACACUGGAACUGAGACACGGUCCAGACUCCUACGGGAGGCAGCAGUGGGGAAUAUUGGACAAUGGGCGCAAGCCUGAUCCAGCCAUACCGCGUGGGUGAAGAAGGCCUUCGGGUUGUAAAGCCCUUUUGUUGGGAAAGAAAUCCAGCUGGCUAAUACCCGGUUGGGAUGACGGUACCCAAAGAAUAAGCACCGGCUAACUUCGUGCCAGCCGCCGCAGUAA